GAUUUUCUCUUCAUUUUUUGGACCAUUCUUUGCUUAUGUUGGUGUUUAAGUAAGGAAGAAAUACUGCAUGUUCAGCCUCUUCAAAGUCAUUUAUUUUUUCACUCUUAUUGUAUUGAUUGGUAUUGAUUGACUCCGGUGGAUUUACUCAAGCCUUUGUGCUCCCUGAAGUGCAGAACCACAUUUAAGAAUUGAAAGAAAGAUUUGCAUGCUGAAAGGUUGGUGAUCUGGUGUUGUUGGUCACUUGGAAUCAAAUGAAAAUUCUAGUCGCUGGCAUAGUAAUGACACAGUGGUGCUAGAGUUCAACCAUUACACUCCUGGCUUAAGAUGGAGACAGAAUAGUAUCAGUAGCUUUCUUAGCUAGCAAGGCUUCAACUCUGGCCAUUUUGGCAGCUACUGCUCCUGUUUUUGGGACUGUGGUAGGCGAUUUUUCAGACUAUAUCAACAAUUCACAUCUUGGGACAUCCUGAACGGCCUCUGGCGACAAGAUAUGUAUCUCUUAAUUAUUUUACACACACUUUCAUAUUUCAUAGAAUCUCCCCUUAUCUAUCACGACUAAGCCAAAUAUAAAGUGAUUAAACAUUCAACGUUUGCCAAGGUAUCCAUGUAUCAAUGCUUCAUAUAAUUUUUUUAAUGUAUUUCAUCAAUUUUUAAAGUUUUUGCAGUGUAUUUUGGCUUACAAUAGAUAAUUGCAUAAUAUAUUUUCCACUUCAAUCUUAAAAUUAGAAGUUUAGUUUAUCUUUACUCUCUGACAUGAACUGAAAAAAGUUUUGGUCUGUUUGCUUUUGAAUGUGUUUCUUUUUCUUUGAUAGUAAAUAUGUGAAACAAAUAUUAGAGGAGCUUAAGACAGUUUUUUUUCCAGGGUAACUGAAAAUGUCUAUUGGCAGAGUGAUUUGAGAUCUUUUGAAGAGAAAGUUUCUCAAUCUUUGUGAAUGCUUAUAAAUCUAGGAAAUUAAUUACUUUAGGAAUUAUUGUUACUUUUUUUGGAAGCAAAUGGCACAAUUGAAGAAAUUUUUUCGGUGGCCACUUAGCGAUUGGUACUCCAACAUAAUAUUGAAAUGUUCUUAGAAAUAUGAUAUAUUUUUUAAGUUUUGGCCCCCUAUUCUGGUUUCAUGUUGUAAUUCAAUCAGGACUGAUAUACAUAAGGUUUAAGUAUUAUAAAGUUACAAUUUUCACACUAGCCAAUAAACAAUAAUCUUUCUGGAGAGUAUCUACUUGAUUAUAUCCCGACACUUGCUGAAUUGAUCUUUAGGGAAUGUUGCAAUUAUGAUCUUCUUCUUGCUUUAGGGGAUCUUGAUAAGCAUUGGAAAACUAACAUUUAGUUGUCAA